rfam:Triticum urartu cultivar G1812 contig1139966, whole genome shotgun sequence.
GUUGUACUCCCUCCGUCCGGAAAUACUUGUCAAAGAAAUGGAUACAAAUGGAUGUAUCUAGAACUAAAAUACAUCUAGAUACAUCCAUUCCUUGGAAAAGUAUUUCCGGACGGAGGGAGUAGCUC